GACUCUGGAGCGCAACCGGUAGCGCGUCUGACUCCAGAUCCGAAGGCUGCAUGUUCAAAUCACGUCAGGGUCA
rnacentral:tRNA from 1 species